UGAAGUGUGGAAAUGUUCCAUGUGAACAUCACUUGGACAUGGUCGGUUAUUCAAUCCUAAGAGAUGGGGAAUCCUUGUAUCAAGGGUGCACUCUGCAUGAACAUCAAAAGAGAAUUGGGUUAAUAUUCCUGAACUAGGACAUGGUGGUGGACAACAAUGUUAGGAAAUCUGGAGAUGUCAUCGAGGACCUGGGAAGAGUUAUCUUUUCUUUUUAACGACUUUCCCACCCUGAAAUCGGUUCAACCGGAGAUAGGGUCCAACAUCUGAAAGAGCACCACACGUCUUGUGGUGUUUGGUGCCCCCUGGGCAUCCAUUGUAAAUAUGGUGAACCGAGUACCAUCCAUGCCCAAUCGUACUCAUAUAUGCCUCCUUCGAUUUUUCAAUGUCCACUAGGUUAGCGAUCUUGA
rfam:Picea glauca, whole genome shotgun sequence.